CCCUUAGAUGUUCGGGGCCGCACGCGCGCUACACUGAAGGAAUCAGCACGUCUUUCUCCUUGUCCGAAAGGACUGGGUAACCCGCUGAACCUCCUUCGUGCUAGGGAUUGGGGCUUGUAAUUCUUCCCCAUGAACGAGGAAUUCCCAGUAAGCGCGAGUCAUAAGCUCGCGUUGAUUACGUCCCGGCCCUUUGUACACACCGCCCGUCGCUACUACCGAUUGGAUGGUUUAGUGAGAUCCUCGGAUUGGUCCCGGCGCGGCCUCUGGUCGUGCCGGAGUGCCGAAAAGAAUGUCGAACUUGAUCAUCUAGAGGAAGUAAAAGUCGUAACA
rnacentral:rRNA from 1 species